rnacentral:rRNA from 1 species
UACGUAGGGGGCAAGCGUUGUCCGGAAUCAUUGGGCGUAAAGAGCGUGUAGGCGGCUCGGUAAGUCCGCUGUGAAAGUCCAGGGCUCAACCCUGGAAUGCCGCUGGAAACUGUCGAGCUAGAGUCCGGAAGAGGCGAGUGGAAUUCCUGGUGUAGCGGUGAAAUGCGCAGAUAUCAGGAGGAACACCAAUGGCGAAGGCAGCUCGCUGGGACGGUACUGACGCUGAGACGCGAAAGCGUGGGAGGCAAACAGG